CCUCGGGAGGCAGCAGUGGGGAAUAUUGCACAAUGGGCGAAAGCCUGAUGCAGCAACGCCGCGUGAGUGGUGAAGGCCUUCGGGUUGUAAAGCUCUGUCUUUUGGGACGAUAAUGACGGUACCAAAGGAGGAAGCCACGGCUAACUACGUGCCAGCAGCCGCGGUAAU
rnacentral:rRNA from 1 species